AUGCUGGGAAUUGCAGUCCAGCGCACAGUCACGUGAUGCACCUAACGUCGCGUUACACGGUUACUCUCGCGAGAGCUGGUCUCCUUUAUUAGCGUGCGGCCGGACCCUCCUCUUCCUCUGUCUGUAUUCGGUUGCUGGUUUCUCUCGGGAAUCUUUGUAGAUCCAGUGACCUUUUCGACAGUUGGACUUAACUUGCACUUGCAUACACAAGCCAGUCUUGCUUAUAAAUAAGUGCUUCAAAAUGGGGAAAAUGAAAGAGUUGAAUGAGUUUGAGCGUGGCAUGAUAAUUGGUACAAUUCUUACGGGCAAGAGUGUAGCAGAGGCUGCAAAACUGCUCGGCUUUUCACGUGCAACAAUAUCUCGUGUGUAUAGAGAAUGGUCAAACUCCCAAACGGCUGACGAAAAACAACAACCGCCACCACCACCACAGCAGCAGCAGCAGGCUAGUGCCCCGAAACAGAAGGCCCAGUAAAUGCUCCAACGUACCCUAAACUCCUCAUCAUGCUGAAAGACACGGGGAACUUAAGAAUCUACAGACUAAAGUCCACUUCUAUUACGUACGGCUUACAAUCUGAAGUCUUACUACCUUAAAGGCCACAUUUAUUCAACCUGUAUAGCAAGAUGAAGUACUGACCCAUCAGUGGACUGCUCAUGUGGAUGCACCUCUACAGUUUACACCUGUCUACUGGAGAGCUUGGUAAACUGUGCUUGGUAUCAUACUAUGCAGUACAUGCACAAUUUUCAGUUAUGUCUGUAUUUGAUAUAAAAUGAAUAAUACUUUCCUUAUCAAUCCCUGCUGCGCUCAUGCUAGUACAUCUCUGGGCCUAUGCUGGUGUCAGUUCACUAGCUGAUAGUGUUGUCUUGCCAUCUCGCCACUUACAAGUAAAUAAGGACAAUCUGGACAAGCAAACAUUCUUCACAGGAGUGACAGGGGAUUGGUAAGGUGAUUGUUGUUCAUGGUUUGUAAAAACUUCAUGAGGCUGGUAAACUCUUGAAGGUUCCUUUAUGUUCUGGUGUGCAUAAUUAGAUUGUGUUGUGCCUUUUAUAUAUUUUUUUUUUCCAAGUAAAAUGGGGCAAAAAUGUAAUGGGGGGCUUGAGGAAUCCUUUGGCAACACUUGUGAUGUUAAGAAGCACUUAAGUUCUCAAGCUUGGAGAUUAUACUGUGAAAUGUGUAAUCUUUUACAAAUAGUGAUAGAAACUGUUACACUGAUCUUGUGGGACCUACUUUACCUUACUGAAAUUAUGGCUGUUUUAACACAAUCUGCAGGUAUUAAAGCAUUACUGUCUCAAAGUUGUUGAUCAGGGUCUGUGCUAUCCCCACCAAUAGGUAGACAGUCAGAGAAGCACACAGUAGUUCACUCCAAGCUAGGAGUGAAGUACUCACAGCAUGCUUCUGGCUCGAUCUAGUGAUGGAGAAUCUUGUCAUUGGGACCCAUUUGAUCAAAACUUUAAAGGGUCAUAAUUUUGACAGUAAGGGUAGGGUAACACGUAGCACAUCCACAUUGUUUCAUGCUGCGGAUGCAACAGCGCCAGUCAAAGGAGCAAGCUCCCUGAUGCUGCAGGGAGGUUGCUUUAGUGACUGGUGUCCACGCAUCCAAACACAAAAAUAAGCUGCAGAUGUGCAAUGUGACCCUACAGCUUUAAAUGUAUCCUCCAAUUAGGGAUAACACCAUCUGAGAAUUGUGCACACCACUUUAGUGACUUAAUGGUUGUGAUUUCACCUAACAAAAGCUAAAUGUCACUUUAUUGGGACACCACUUGUUGGGUCCCUGACAGUAUUCUCAGAAUAGCAGUAACUGCCUAAUUGUGCUUUGCAAUGUAUCGGACAUUGCUCUUAGUAUACUUUCCAGUAGACCAGUGUGUCUGGAGUGUAGGAAGACUAUGGUGGAGUCAAAUGGUUUAUAGUAAUGCAAGUGUUACUAAAAAUCAGCCCAGUUGUCAUGAAGCCAGCCUGCUCAUGCAGCAGCCAACAUGGAUAAACAUGUUUGCUUCUAUAAUACAAAUUGUUAAAAGGGAUGGGCAACGUUGACUCCUUUUCUAUCUGGGAGGUAAAUGGUACAAAGCUAACAAGUAUUGGUAAGCUGUUUUACUGGUCCAAAAAGCCAUACCCCCUAGGCCUGAAAAGCCUCUUCCUUCAUAGCACUUAAUGUGGUGCUGAUUUUCUGUAACCAUUACACUUGUCCAGAACCUCAUUAUGCAGGUUCAGUUUCAUGUGACUAUAACCAGGUUGUCCAGUCUUCUGCACUCAACAUACUGGUAAAAUUCCUAUAGAACAAACUAUGUGCCUGGAUGGUAAACAUAUGCACCUCUGGGACAGCAACAUGGAAAGGUUUUUAGUAUUUUGUUAAUCUGAUUUACUAGGUCAGUUCUGAUCAUGUGAAGUGUUUGAAUCCUUCUUUGUGUUUUGUGGACUAAAUGCUCUUCUAUGUGCCAUUGUAAUGCUGAAUAUUCCAAUUUUGCUUGGCAACAGUUUUUUGUAUCCUUUAUUUGACAUGAAUAAAGAACAUUAAUAAAA